CAAAAUAUAGCUUAACUCACCGCCCGUCAC
rnacentral:tRNA from 1 species